ensembl:snRNA U2 U2 spliceosomal RNA
AUCGCUUCUCGGCCUUUUGGCUAAGAUCGAGUGUAGUGUCGUUCUUGUCAGUUUAAUAAUAAAAUGAAUAUACUUUACAGAUAGGACUUAAAAUACAUUAUAACUUCAAGCCUGCUAAUCUCAGAAAACAUGCUAAUUUUUUCCUUGCCCUCAAAAAUUCUAGGCACUCUAAAGAUGUUUAUU